rnacentral:lncRNA from 1 species
UUGGCAGGCAUCACAGCAGCACGGGCGGGUCCUCAGUGAAAGCAGCUCACGCCAAGCGGAAGAUGCUGGUCACAUAGGCAAUGGGGGCCUGCGAGGGAGCCAAAC